GAUCCUGCCGGAGGUCACUGCUAUUGGGAUUCGACUAAGCCAUGCGAGUCGAGAGGGUUCGGCCCUCGGCUGACGGCUCAGUAACACGUGGAUAAUCUGCCCUUAGGUGGAGGAUAAUCUCGGGAAACUGAGGAUAAUACUCCAUAGAUCUAGGAUGCUGGAAUGCAUCUAGAUUGAAAGCUCCGGCGCCUAAGGAUGAGUCUGCGGACUAUCAGGUUGUAGUCAGGGUAAAGACCUGACUAGCCUACGACGGAUACGGGUUGUGAGAGCAAUAACCCGGAGACGAUAUCUGAGACACGAUAUCGGGCCCUACGGGGCGCAGCAGGCGCGAAAACUUCACACUGUGCGAAAGCGCGAUGAGGGAAUCCCAAGUGUUUGCUCGUAAGAGUAAACUGUUUCUUUGUUUAAAACGCAGAGAGAGUAAGGGCUGGGUAAGACGGGUGCCAGCCGCCGCGGUAAUACCUGCAGCUCAAGUGGUGAUCAUUAUUAUUGGGCCUAAAACGUCCGUAGCCGGUUUAGUAAAUGCCUGGGUAAAUCGUGUAGCUUAACUAUACGACUUCCGGGUAGACUGCUAAACUUGAGACCGGGAGAGGCUAGAGGUACUCCUGGGGUAGAGGUGAAAUUCUGUAAUCCUAGGGGGACCACCAGUGGCGAAGGCGUCUAGCUAG
rnacentral:rRNA from 1 species